GGUGAUUAGUGUCAUAGAGAGGGAGGGGGUGACUAGUGACACAGAGAGGGUGGGGGUGACUAGUGACAGAGGGAGGAGUGACUAGGGACAGAGGGAGGGAGGUGGUGACUAGUGACAGUCACCACCUCCCUCACUUUGUCACUAGUCACCACCUCCCUCACUCUGUCACCAGUCAUCCCCUCACUCUGCCACUAGUCACCCCUUCCCUCACUCUGUCACCUGUCACCCCCUCACUCUAGUGACA